GGAUCAUCAGGAUUCUCCUCAAUCUCUCCUUCCGUACAUUUCAAUGAGCAUAUUCCAUUCUCAUCGAUGAGACAAAUAUUCAAUGAAGAGUUAAAGUAGGUUCCACUGGUGCAGUUCACUUCCUCAAGGCUGCCAUCCACACAUUGUAAGUAUCCACAAGGAUCAUCAGGAUUCUCCUCAAUCUCUCCUUCCGUACAUUUCAAUGAGCAUAUUCCAUUCUCAUCGAUGAGACAAAUAUUCAAUGAAGAGUUAAAGUAGGUUCCGCUGGUGCAGUUCACUUCCUCAAGGCUGCCAUCCACACAUUGUAAAAAUCCACAAGGAUCAUCAGGAUUCUCCUCAAUCUCUCCUUCCUUACAUUUCGAUGAGCAUAUUCCAUUCUCAUCAAUAAGACAAAUAUUCAAUGAAGAGUUAAAGUAGGUUCCACUGGUGCAGUUCACUUCCUCAAGGCUGCCAUCCACACAUUGUAAGUAUCCACAAGGAUCAUCAGGAUUCUCCUCAAUCUCUCC